AUACGUAGGGAGCGAGCGUUGUCCGGAAUUACUGGGUGUAAAGGGAGCGUAGGCGGGAGUGCAAGUCAGAUGUGAAAUACAUGGGCUCAACCCAUGGGCUGCAUUUGAAACUGCAUUUCUUGAGUGAAGUAGAGGUAAGCGGAAUUCCUGUGUAGCGGUGAAAUGCGUAGAUAUCAGGAGGAACACCGGUGGCGAAGGCGGCUUACUGGGCUUUUACUGACACUGAGGCUCGAAAGCGUGGGGAGCAAACAGGAUUAGAUACCCUGGUAGUCCACGCUGUAAACGAUGAAUACUAGGUGUAGGGGGUAUCGACUCCCUCUGUGCCGCAGUUAACACAAUAAGUAUUCCGCCUGGGGAGUACGGCCGCAAGGUUGAAACUCAAAUGAAUUGACGGGG
rnacentral:rRNA from 1 species